rnacentral:rRNA from 1 species
AACGAACGCUGGCGGCAGGCCUAACACAUGCAAGUCGAACGAAGUCUUCGGACUUAGUGGCGCACGGGUGAGUAACACGUGGGAAUAUACCUUACGCUGGGGGAUAACAUCGGGAAACUGAUGCUAAUACCGCAUACGCCCUUCGGGGGAAAGAUUUAUCGGCGAAAGAUUAGCCCGCGUCCGAUUAGCUAGUUGGUGAGGUAAUGGCUCACCAAGGCUCCGAUCGGUAGCUGGUCUGAGAGGAUGACCAGCCACACUGGGACUGAGACACGGCCCAGACUCCUACGGGAGGCAGCAGUGGGGAAUAUUGGACAAUGGGCGCAAGUCUGAUCCAGCCAUGCCGCGUGAGUGAUGAAGGCCUUAGGGUUGUAAAGCUCUUUCACCCACGACGAUGAUGACGGUAGUGGGAGAAGAAGCCCCGGCUAACUUCGUG